AGGAGAUGUCUCAUUUUCUCCUUUGGUAUCGGUGCCGAUUGGUCUUUUGAGGAUGAGGCUGAAGGAAAAUUGGGCUGCAAGGUGUUUGCUUUUGAUCCGACAAUUAAAGAAGACACACACAACCGAACAGAAAACAUACGUUUCUUCAACCUGGGCAUCAGUGACUUCAACAAGACUGGACCAAAUUUCAAAGUAAAGACGAACCGUUACUGCAACAUUCUCAAUGGGCUUGGUCAUCUCAACAGCAUCAUUGAUAUCCUCAAGAUUGACGUAGAGGG